GUUUAGUUACUGCAGCUACAUACUAUUAACAUUCCUUCCCUUUAUUAAUGCUACCCCUAUCCCCUCCCUUUGAUGCUGCUAAUCCUGCAUAAUGCACGGGCAUAAUAUGACUUUGAAAACCCUGCCCACCUCCUACGCAUUUCACAAGUAGUGCUAAUCACAUACCUGCAUUUCCCAUAAAUAUGCUAAAUUCCUCUUGAUAUGCAAAUUAUUUUGUCAAGGCACCCUUCUCCUUUCAACCCAGCUUAAAUAUACGCUCCAAGCGUGGUGGUGUCUCAUUCAGACGCUGUCUCCCCGACAGACCUGGUCUUCACCUGAGGACGGCUGCUUGCGUUGUGGCCGAAACGUCGUGAGAAUUAUUUUAUUAUGUUUUAUUUUUAUUAUUUUAUUAUUUCCCUUCUACGUGACUUUACCAAAAUAACCAAGAAGAUGAAUCCUUGCAAUCACGAAAGCUUUAAAUCGAGAUGUAGAGGUGUUACGUACCGGGGUGUAGCAAGCCAUUACGUUGCGGUGUCUACAUCACGGUCCGAGCGUGGGGUGUCUACAUCAACGUCCGCAUACAGCCCCGCCCCUCGGGGGGCAGUUGGCUAUAUAAGGCGGUGCGUGAGAGAGCAGAAGAGCCGUUGAAGACUGAAAACCAGCUCGCAAGCCCUGGGACUACACUGAGUCGGUCUCCUGCAGGAGUGGAACCGAGCUGUGGGGGGAGGAGUGGUGGUGUUAAUGUUGGUGGUAUUCGUGGGGGUGGUGUGUGGUGCCACAACGACGGGGCCGCUCUGCCGAACCAGGGAGCCGCCCGGCUUCCCCCACCGCACUGCCCCCCAUCACCCGCCCCACAUAAGCACACACCCGCACGCAUUCCCCCCCCCCCCCCCCAUAGAGCUGGAAGGGAAGGUCACCUGAUCGACCGGUUUUUAUCCGAGAGACCCUUAUCGGGAUUAAUUCUCACGGUUUCCGGCGAUCAGGGAAUUGGAUGACCUCCCCGUGCUACGUGGCACCGCGGCGCUGCGGCCGGCCUUAAUAUGGUGUGGUCGCAGCGUGGGGCAUUCGGCCACCGCGGUUGAGGCACAUAUCCCCCCACACACACCCCCACGAGUCGACGGGGCAAGCAGGGGAGGCACGAGACAGCAUGAAUAGCGGGGUCACAGGGGCUGUUGCGCAUAGUCAUGGAGGGUUGGGAUAAUUGCGCUUGAGCGCGCAGGCCCCACUGUUAGGGAGGGUAAGGGAUUAAUUAGGAUUUACGCCUUGCACGCAGCACACUGAUUAGCAUAUCAACAGCGCCUGGGGACUGCCGUGCGCGGGCUUGGGGUGCACGAGCCCAUUGUUCAGCGCAGCAUCCCCUUUGGAGGUAGGGAGGAUAAAUAGAGGAGCGCAGAGGGGAAAUCGCUCUCUUACUCCAGCGCCAGGCGACCAGACGCAGCUCGAGCCAGCGACCCGGACGUCCGUGCGACGCACCGAGGCACGCGGUUAACACAAGGAUCAGCGGACCGCCGUGGACACUUAACAGUGAGUAAGAAGGUGAAAUUAGAAUCAUAGCCGAUAAAUAGGGAAUAGGUACAGGUUUAGUGGAAUAGGCCAGCCUCGUCGACUCACUGAUUCAACAUCAAUUCGCAGGUGGCAUAUAAUAAAUCAUUAAUAGCGAA